rnacentral:lncRNA from 1 species
GAGGCCACUCAUGCUUGUAUGGACGUUUGUGGUGGUUUGCAAUGAUUACCGGUAUGUAUUUUGUCGGGCUUGAUUUGUCUCCACCACACUUGUUGGUGCUUGGUAAUAUAAGAUGGUAGCAUUAUGAACCCUCUCUUUCUUUCUUGUUCUGUUAUGUGCAUUCGGUGUGAAUUUUUUAUGGUUAUGUUGUAUAAGUUGUGGCUGUGAUUUUGGCAAAGGGCAUCCUAGUGCAUAAGAAUCCCUCUGCUACAAAGCUUGGGAGUGUUAGAGGU